rnacentral:snRNA from 2 species
AUCUUUAUGCUUGGGGCAAUGACUCAGCUGGUUCUAACCAAGGUGUGUCUAUUGCUGAUUGAAAACUAUUUCCAAACCCCCUCUUAUGCAUGGGUACAGCUGUGGCCUUGGAGAAUUUAUGGAAGGGCUCCCUUUCGGGUAAAGCC